rnacentral:rRNA from 1 species
GACGAACCGUGCGAACGUUGUUCGGAAUCACUGGGCAUAAAGGGCGCGUAGGCGGCUUAUCAAGUCAGGGGUGAAAUCCGGCAGCUCAACUGUCGAAGUGCCUUUGAUACUGAUGAGCUCGAGGGAGGUAGGGGUAUGCGGAACUUCCGGUGGAGCGGUGAAAUGCGUUGAUAUCGGAAGGAACGCCGGUGGCGAAAGCGGCGUACUGGACCUCUUCUGACGCUGAGGCGCGGAAAGCUAAGGGGAGCAAACGGGG